rnacentral:rRNA from 1 species
CCCUUAGAUGUUCUGGGCUGCACGCGCGCUACACUGAUGCGCUCAACGAGUUUUAACCUUGCCUGGAAAGGUUGGGUAAUCUUUUUAAAACGCAUCGUGAUGGGGAUAGAUUAUUGCAAUUAUUAAUCUUCAACGAGGAAUUCCUAGUAAGCGCGAGUCAUCAGCUCGUGCUGAUUACGUCCCUGCCCUUUGUACACACCGCCCGUCGCUCCUACCGAUUGAGCGAUCCGGUGAAUAAUUCGGACUGCAGCACUGCUUGGUCUCCAGGCUUUGCAGCGGAAAGUUUAGUGAACCUUAUCACUUAGAGGAAGGAGAANUCGUANCA